rnacentral:rRNA from 1 species
UACGUAGGGUGCAAGCGUUAAUCGGAAUUACUGGGCGUAAAGCGUGCGCAGGCGGUUUUGUAAGUCUGUCGUGAAAGCCCCGGGCUCAACCUGGGAAUUGCGAUGGAGACUGCAAGGCUUGAAUCUGGCAGAGGGGGGUAGAAUUCCAGGUGUAGCGGUGAAAUGCGUAGAUAUCUGGAGGAACACCGGUGGCGAAGGCGGCAUCCUGGACCGGUAUUGACGCUGAGGCGCGAAAGCCAGGGGAGCAAACGGG